AGAGUUUGAUCAUGGCUCAGAAUCAACGCUGGCGGCGCGCCUAACACAUGCAAGUCGAACGAGAAAGCAGGAGCAAUCUUGUGAGUAAAGUGGCGUACGGGUGAGUAACACGUGGAUUAUCUACCCUCUUGUGGGGGAUAACCCUGGGAAACCGGGGCUAAUACCGCAUAAGCUCGAGAGAGGAAAGCAGCAAUGCGCAGGAGGAGGAGUCCGCGGCCGAUUAGCUAGUUGGUAGGGUAAAAGCCUACCAAGGCUACGAUCGGUGGCCGGCCUGAGAGGGCACACGGCCACACUGGCACUGAAACACGGGCCAGACUCCUACGGGAGGCAGCAGUGGGGAAUCUUGCACAAUGGGGGCAACCCUGAUGCAGCGACGCCGCGUGAGCGAUGAAGCCCUUCGGGGUGUAAAGCUCUUUCGGCAGGGAAGAUUAUGACGGUACCUGCAGAAGCAGCUGCGGCUAACUACGUGCCAGCAGCCGCGGUAAUACGUAGGCAGCAAGCGUUGUUCGGAGUUACUGGGCGUAAAGGGUGUGUAGGCGGUUCUCUAAGUCUGGUGUGAAAUCUCCCGGCUCAACUGGGAGGGUGCGCCGAAAACUGGAGGACUAGAGUGCGGGAUGGGAGAGUGGAAUUCCUGGUGUAGCGGUGAAAUGCGUAGAUAUCAGGAGGAACACCUGUGGUGUAGACGGCUCUCUGGACCGCAACUGACGCUGAGACACGAAAGCGUGGGUAGCAAACAGGAUUAGAUACCCUAGUAGUCC
rnacentral:rRNA from 1 species